CGAUGCGAUCAUACCAGCACUAAAGCACCGGAUCCCAUCAGAACUCCGAAGUUAAGCGUGCUUGGGCGAGAGUAGUACUAGGAUGGGUGACCUCCUGGGAAGUCCUCGUGUUGCAUUCC
rnacentral:rRNA from 5 species